GACGAACGCUGGCGGCGUGCUUAACACAUGCAAGUCGAACGGAAAGGCCCUGCUUUUGUGGGGUGCUCGAGUGGCGAACGGGUGAGUAACACGUGAGUAACCUUCCCUUGACUUUGGGAUAACUUCAGGAAACUGGUGCUAAUACCGGAUAGGAGCUCCUGCUGCAUGGUGGGGGUUGGAAAGUUUCGGCGGUUGGGGAUGGACUCGCGGCUUAUCAGCUUGUUGGUGGGGUAGUGGCUUACCAAGGCUUUGACGGGUAGCCGGCCUGAGAGGGUGAACGGCCACAUUGGGACUGAGAUACGGCCCAGACUCCUACGGGAGGCAGCAGUGGGGAAUAUUGCACAAUGGGCGGAAGCCUGAUGCAGCAACGCCGCGUGCGGGAUGACGGCCUUCGGGUUGUAAACCGCUUUCGCCUGUGACGAAGCGUGAGUGACGGUAAUGGGUAAAGAAGCACCGGCUAACUACGUG
rnacentral:rRNA from 1 species